GUACGUGAAACCGUUCAGGGGUAAACGGGAGAAAUCCUGAAUUCGAAGGGGAUUGGAUUCAGCUCUUGACCGUCUGUACAAGGCCUCCUCGCGCCAGAUGUCGCCGGUCGCCCGCGGCGAUUCACUUCGCUUGCGGUGUCGCUCCCGGCGGUCACUCGGCGGUGUGGUGUUGCACUGGCAACGGCAGAACGCACUUCUUCCCUUGUAGAAACGUCGCGACCCGUUGGGUGCCGGUCUAAGGCCUGGGAAGGCAGACCGCGCGUCCUGAAGCCGUAAAAAGCUCUAGGCGCGCGCGGACUCCUGGUGUCCCGGCCGGCUGCUCGACGGUAAGACCAGAGGAGUCGAUCCGCUGAAAUUUGGAAACACUGUGGUUUGUGUAGCGUCCGGCCCGGCGCCGACACGUGCGGGGAAAAAAUAUAAGCUUGGUUUCAAACCCGGGUGUGGUGUCCGUGCAGAAGCACGGCCCCGGCCUCGCUGCGUCGUCGGUCGUCUCGGUGUCCUCGGACUGGAUCAGCACUCCC
rnacentral:rRNA from 1 species